CGGACGGGUGAGUAACGCGUGGGUAACCUACCCUGUACAGGGGGAUAACAGUCAGAAAUGACUGCUAAUACCGCAUAAGACCACAGCACCGCAUGGUGCAGGGGUAAAAACUACCGGUGGUACAGGAUGGACCCGCGUCUGAUUAGCUGGUUGGUGAGGUAACGGCUCACCAAGGCGACGAUCAGUAGCCGGCUUGAGAGAGUGAACGGCCACAUUGGGACUGAGACACGGCCCAA
rnacentral:rRNA from 1 species